rnacentral:rRNA from 1 species
GACGAACGCUGGCGGCGUGCUUAACACAUGCGAGUCGAACGGAAAGGCCCUGCUUUUGUGGGGUGCUCGAGUGGCGAACGGGUGAGUAACACGUGAGUAACCUGCCCUUGACUUUGGGAUAACUUCAGGAAACUGGGGCUAAUACCGGAUAGGAGCUCCUGCUGCAUGGUGGGGGUUGGAAAGUUUCGGCGGUUGGGGAUGGACUCGCGGCUUAUCAGCUUGUUGGUGGGGUAGUGGCUUACCAAGGCUUUGACGGGUAGCCGGCCUGAGAGGGUGACCGGCCACAUUAGGAUGGAGAUGAGACCCAGACUCCUACGGGAGGCAGCGGUGGGGAAUAUUGCACAAGGGGAGGGAGCCAGAUGCAGCAACGCAGCGUGGGGGAUGACGGGAUUCGGGUUGUAAACCGCUUUCGCCUGUGACGAAGUGUGAGUGACGGUAAUGGGUAAAGAAGCACCGGCUAACUACGUG